rnacentral:tRNA from 1 species
GCCCCGGUGGUGUAGACCGGCCAAUCAGCUCGCUUGGAAUGACGGCUAGGGCCAAUCAUAGUGGCCUCAUAGGCCGGCGAAAUGCCGCCUAGGCCAAUCGAGCCACUGACGCGGGUUCAAAUCCCGCCCGGGGCA